rnacentral:rRNA from 1 species
GGGAAACUGCCUGAUGGAGGGGGAUAACUACUGGAAACGGUAGCUAAUACCGCAUAACGUCGCAAGACCAAAGUGGGGGACCUUCGGGCCUCAUGCCAUCAGAUGUGCCCAGAUGGGAUUAGCUAGUAGGUGGGGUAACGGCUCACCUAGGCGACGAUCCCUAGCUGGUCUGAGAGGAUGACCAGCCACACUGGAACUGAGACACGGUCCAGACUCCUACGGGAGGCAGCAGUGGGGAAUAUUGCACAAUGGGCGCAAGCCUGAUGCAGCCAUGCCGCGUGUGUGAAGAAGGCCUUCGGGUUGUAAAGCACUUUCAGCGGGGAGGAAGGCAUUAAGGUUAAUAACCUUAGUGAUUGACGUUACCCGCAGAAGAAGCACCGGCUAACUCCGUGCCAGCAGCCGCGGUAAUACGGAGGGUGCAAGCGUUAAUCGGAAUUACUGGGCGUAAAGCGCACGCAGGCGGUCUGUCAAGUCGGAUGUGAAAUCCCCGGGCUCAACCUGGGAACUGCAUUCGAAACUGGCAGGCUAGAGUCUUGUAGAGGGGGGUAGAAUUCCAGGU